GUUUUCCAUUUGUUGUUCCACUCCUUUGGGCUACAACAGUCAAGUUCUUUAAAUUUUGCUCCCAUCCUAUGAUGUAAUCCUUCGGGCGUAUAUUGCCCCGCUUGGCGGAGCUCUUGUUUUAAUGUUGUGUCGCACGUAGCUCCAAAAGUAUUUGACCUAGAGUCACCAAAGUUUACAGGAAUGUUGGUCAGCAUGUGCAGUUGUGGACCUGGGGUUUUGCGUCCGGAUUCAUUCAGUCGUGUAGGAGUUAUGGCCCCUGACUUAGUUAAAGAUUGGUCAUUUUAAUGUUGUGUGGCACGUAGCUCCAAAAGUAUUUGACCUAGAGUCACCAAAGUUUACAGGAAUGUUGGUCAGCAUGUGCAGUUGUGCACCUGGGGUUUUGCGUCCGGAUUCAUUCAGUAUUGUAGGAGUUAUGGCCCCUGACCUAGGAAAAAAUUGUCAUUUUAAUGUAUGCGGUGAUGGACAUGUAUCUAAAAAUCUCAAGAAAGCAUAUAUGUAUAUGUACAUUAUAUAUAUGGUUAUUUUUUGCAUUUUUUUAGCUCGACUAUUCAUAGAAUAGUAGAGCUAUUGGACUAGCCCAUGCGUCGGUGUCCGCGUCGGCGUCUGCGUCCGCGUCCGCGUCCGCGUCCCGAUUUGGUUAAGUUUUUGUAUGUAAGCUGGUAUCUCAGCAACCACUUGUGGGAAUGGAUUGAAACUUCACACACUUAUUCACUGUGAUAAACUGACUUACAUUGCACAGGUUCCAUAACUCUGUUUUGCUUUUUUACAAAAUUAUGCCCCUUUUUUCGACUUAGAAUUUUUUGGUUAAGGUUUUGUAUGUAAGCUGGUAUCUCAGUAUCCACUAAUGGGAAAGGAUUGAACCUUCACACACUUGUUCACUGUCAUGAUAUGACAUGCAGUGCAAAGGGUCAAUAACUCAACUUUGCAUUUUACAAAAUUAUGCCCCUUUUUAAACUAAGGAGUUUUGGGUUAAAUUCUUAUAUGUAAGCUGGUAUCUCAGUACCCACUAAUGGGAAUGGAUUGAAACUUCACACACUUGUCCACUGUCAUGAGCUGAUAAGCACUGUGCAGGUUCCAUAACCCUAUUUUGCUUUUUUUAAAUUAUGCCCCUUUUUCGACUUUCGUAUUCAUUCAGUCGACAAGGCUGUUGAAUAGUCGAGCGUUGCUGUCCUCCGACAGCUCUUGUUUUAAUAGCAACAUAUUGUUUUCCCAAAGUUGAUCUGUGUCCUUUGUCAUGUAGUGGGGGCAUCUGUGUCCCAUGGACACAUUUCUAGUUAUACUUAGACAUACAGUCGAACCUGUAUCAAUCAUCCAGCCCAGGGAUUAAGCAUUUAAGGCAGGUGGCUGCUUAAGACAAGUUGAAAUUAGAAGAAAAAGUCAGUUUUGGAAGUAAGUCGUCUGCUUGAUGCAAGUGAACCGAUGCUUAAUACAGAUGGCUGCUUCAGCAGAUUCAACUAAAAUCUAAGUUGGGUUUCUUACUUUUUAUUAUUUUGUCAUCUUGAAUACAUUUUUUGAUCCCCUGCUGUGAAGUGGAAUGGGAAAUAUAAAAUUGCUGUUCUUACAUCUGUGUGUCCAUCUAUCUUCUUGCCAUCCAAAUGCAAUUUUUUUCAUAUAUUUUUUACAUUCAGUCAUUUGUGUUUCUUGAUAUUUACUCUUUGCACCAUCCUCCACUCCACCCACUAAAAGUUGAAAAUAAAAACAUUACUUCUUUAACUUAAUAGUGUCUCUUAGCAUCCACACCCAUUCCACCCAGACUAUCCCCUGCAUCCUCAGCAAAAAUUAUAUUUUACUUUUACUUUCUUCUGUUUCUUGACAUUGUCUCUUGGUAUUCCCAUAUCCCCCCAAAAAAGUUAUUUUCUUGUUUUUCUGUAUAUUGUCUUUUAGUAGCCUGUCAUUCAAAGGCAAACAUUUGAAACAUAGAAACUCAAAAAGAUUCCACCACCACCUGUAUGUAUAACUUAACCAUGCUCGACAUGACUGAUUCUGCCUUGCGACCAGUGUAGAUUAUGAUCAGCCUGCACAUCUGUGCAGUUUGAUCAUGAUCUGCACUAUUCGCUAUUCAGCCAGUAUCUAUUAACAGUUAAUGGUACUGUCCAAAUUUAAAAAUAUGCAAAUUCAUUAUAGAAAUUUAGCAGGGUAAGGGUUAAUUACAUGUGAAUCUUGCAAAAUAAAGCUACUGUUCUCAAAAAUACUGCGUAACAAACAGUUACCUGUUAAAGAGUGUUAUGAUACCCUGUGAAAUAUGCUUUCAAGCUUCUAACAUUGUGCUCAAACCAGAGAAUGGGACUGUGGUGACUUGAUAAAAGACAGAACAGCCAAGAGAAACCAUCUUCCUCCUGUACAGAAGUUGUUUGUUAGUUGUGGAGAAUAAGCUUUUGUAAGAAAUGCAUUCACAUUUUGGAGUAUUCUCUGUAGCUACUGUAAAAAAACAAACGAAGAUUUACCUCCCAAAACAAUCAUAUAUUUUCAUAGACGAUACAGGCGACUUGAUGAAAUACAUGUUGGUUAGUGUUUCUGUAUAGAAACAUGUAAGGCAGCAACAUCAUCCUGACCUGCUAGUUACAUCAGUUAACUGAAAUAUACAUAAUCACAGAUGUGAAAAUGAACAUCUGCUUUGAUAGCAGCGACAUUCUGUGAUGUUAACAAAUGUUAACAAAUAUUACGUUUAAAUUGCUUUUUAAUUUUUUGUUAGCUUGAUAUUAAUGGUGAUCAAUACUUGUUGUAGUUUUACAUGAUUUAUACAAGGCAUGAAUUCAUUUUAUCAUCUACAUAUUUUAUUUUAUUAUUGAGUGGCAGAAAUUCAAUGUUGUUUGUUUUUGCUAAAGCAUGGUGACAACGAUUACUACUGUAUUUUAUUCAGUUUCUCAAAUGUAGACAACUUUGAAGAAUUAGUAACAGUAAAUGUUCCCAUGCCAAAAUUAGCAUUUCUACAACAGCUUAAUAUCAGUUUCAUUUUUUUAAAUAUUAAACUCUUGCCCAUCA